rnacentral:rRNA from 1 species
AAAGGUAAGCUACUAAGAGCGAAUGGUGGAUGCCUUGACUGGUAAAGGCGAUGAAGGACGUACUAGACUGCGAUAAGCUACGGGGAGCUGUCAAGAAGCUUUGAUCCGUAGAUUUCCGAAUGGGGCAACCCAAUGUAUAGAGAUAUACAUUACCUAUAUAGGAGCGAACGAGGGGAAUUGAAACAUCUUAGUACCCUCAGGAAAAGAAAUCAAUAGAGAUUGCGUCAGUAGCGGCGAGCGAAAGCGCAAGAGGGCAAACCCAGUGCUUGCACUGGGGGUUGUAGGACUGCAAUGUGCAAGAGCUGAGUUUAGCAGAACAUUCUGGAAAGUAUAGCCAUAGAGGGUGAUAGUCCCGUAUGCGAAAAACAAAGCUUAGCUAGCAGUAUCCUGAGUAGGGCGGGACACGAGGAAUCCUGUCUGAAUCCGGGUCGACCACGAUCCAACCCUAAAUACUAAUACCAGAUCGAUAGUGCACAAGUACCGUGAGGGAAAGGUGAAAAGAACUGAGGUGAUCAGAGUGAAAUAGAACCUGAAACCAUUUGCUUACAAUCAUUCAGAGCACUAUGUAGCAAUAC